UACAGAGGUCUCAAGCGUUGUUCGGAUUCAUUGGGCGUAAAGGGUGCGUAGGCGGCGCGGUAAGUCGGGUGUGAAAUCUCGGAGCUUAACUCCGAAACUGCGUUCGAUACUGCCGUGCUCGAGGACUGGAGAGGAGACUGGAAUUUACGGUGUAGCGGUGAAAUGCGUAGAUAUCGUAAGGAAGACCAGUGGCGAAGGCGGGUCUCUGGACAGUUCCUGACGCUGAGGCACGAAGGUCAGGGGAGCAAACGGG
rnacentral:rRNA from 1 species